rnacentral:misc_RNA from 1 species
GAAAGAUGGAGGAAAGAGUUGAAACACCAACCUGAUAACACAAAUAACUGAAUUACAUUGGUCAUAACAGACAGAUCUAAGCCAAGUGGCCAGCCCAACAACAUUUACUUUGACCUUUUUGUUCCUUGAUUGUGGCAUUGUCUUUUAAUUACAUAUUAAUUAGAAAUUGAUAAGAACCUUGACACAGUCUGGUUGCUUCAGCAGCUCAAAUGCUUUAUUCAAAUCUUCCAAUGAAACCUCAUGAGUCAAAAGCUCAUCAAGGUGGAAUUCCUUAUUUUUGCAUUUGUCAAGUAUAGUUGGGAGAUCAGAUUUCACUUUCAGGCCUCCAAAUAGGCUACCUUUCAAACUACCACAACUUACAAAGGGUCUGAUGUUGAUCUGAACUCUUGUAUCAUAUCCUGCACCAACCGUGAUUGCUUUUCCUUUUCCCUGAAAACCCCACAAGACAACAACUUAUUAAUAUAUGUUAUCUCGAUUUUGUUAAUUUAAUGAUAUUAAAGUCAUAUCGGGAAUUAUCGCACAAUUUUUAAGGAUAGUAGAGCUUCAUCAAUCAAGCUAGCAACUCCAGUGCAUUCGAAGCAAUAAUCAACCCCCUUCCCACAAGUUAAGUCUCUUAUCAAUUCUGAAACAGAUUUAUCACCAGAGUCAUUAGGGUUUAUGAAAUCAGUCAUUCCAAAAGCUUGCCCCUUUUCUUUCUUCAUUCCAUUCUUGUCCAUGCCAAUUAUUUUUUGUGCCCCAGCUAUUCGUGCACCCUCUACCACCCCUAAUCCAACAGCGCCAAGGCCAAGCAACACUUGAUCCUUUCUCAACCUCAGCUUCCUUCCAAGCUGCCCCAAAUCCAGUUGAGAAUCCACAGGAGAUGAAGCUAGCAUGUGGUAGUGAUAUGCUUGAAUCAAUCUUGACAAUGUAGUUGACAUUCACAACAGUGUACUCAGACCACGUGGAGCAAGAAAACAAAUGGUAUAAUUUUUGACCUCUAAUGGACAUUCUGGAAGUGUUAUCAGGCAUCAGGCCACUGAUGGUUAAAGGGUAUUUUAGGCAAAAAUUGGUCCUCCCUGAUAUGCAAUAUUCGCAUUCUUGACACUCCCCAAUGAAUGUUGGAAUCACAACAUCUCCUUCCUUUAAGUCUUUGACUUCUUCACCAACGCUCUCCACAAUUCUUGGCAAAUGCAAUACAGAGGAAAGAAUCAAACAUUCUAUAUAACAUAUUAUACCCUUUUUCUUUUCCAAGGCAAAAGUUAAAGGAAAUUGCAGAUAUUUUAGGGGAUUACUUAGACGAGAAUAAUGCAUAAAGGGAGGGCUUACCCAACACCUUCAUGCCCAGGAACUCGAGGGAAAAGAGGCUGAAAGAAGAGAUUAAACAAACACAUAAGAAUAUUAACUCAACAAGGAGUCAUUAAUCAAAGAAACUCACAAAUAUGCCUUUGGAUUAAAUUAUAUCAGUGUGGCAGAUGCUAGCACAUAGCAUCUUAACUCUAACUUCUGAUGAUUUUGGUGCAUCUACUUGUAUCUCUUCCACCUUCACCGACAACUCCUCGCCUCCCCAGCAUACAGCAGCUACAAGAUACAUGAAAACGUAAGCAUAAACUGGUACUAGCUACAGAUUUUUUUGUUAGCUCCGUACCUUUGCAUGUUAUGACUUGAGAAGUGUUCUUGGACAUUGCCAUACGAGAAUGGUUUUGCUGCUGGCCGCCUGCAGAAUCAAUGGUGAACUUUGACUUUUGAGGUUGGGGCAAAGAAAAA